rnacentral:sRNA from 1 species
UGGGAUGAAAUGUUGCUUUAGCUGAUGGGGAACAGUGCUGUUUUAGUGGGGGAAUUACUGCUGAAUGUGCUCUUGCCCAGUUAAGCUUUGUGGCAGGUAAUUUAGGCUUUUGAAAAACAUAACGUGGGAAGCGAGAGAGGUACGUAGUUGUUACUUGAGGCUAGGUUUUCGAAGUGGGACAUAGCGUGUUCCGAACAGACCGACGUUUGGCACCACUGACUGCUGUCUAGAGCAGUGCUUCGCAAAAGUUUGGCACAAUUACCGGUGCUGGUCCUUGAAGAAACAAAUAUGGAAAUUGAAAGCGUUUAAAACCUUUUGAAAGCAAUAUAACAAUAAUUUUAUACCUGUUAAAUGUAAUAAAUUGGGGCCUGCAUUUUGUAUGUUUCUUUUAUUCCAUAUUUCUCUAAGGAUUCAUUUUUAUUGUUUUAUGAAACUACCAGUCUGUGACAUGGAAGGUAGAGGAAAAAGAUUCUUGACCCUAGUUGCUUGUGAAACCUGGGAUUCUACAAGUGACAGUUGUCUGUUUACUCUUGAAGUUCAAGUGUUACUUUGUUACAUGGUUAAUUCAUGUCAAAAGUAUCAUAGGCUAAGACAUCAAAGUUUUAAUAACAUUCUUUUUUCUUUAAGGGGUUUGUUAAAGUUGUUAAGAAUAAGGCCUACUUUAAGAGAUACCAAGUGAAAUUUAGAAGACGACGAGGUACUGUCACCUUUUUGUGUUUACAAUAUUAAUCUGCUUUGCAGAUGCAGUGGAGUGUCCUUUCUACAAUUAUUUUUUUCUUUCAGAGGGUAAAACUGAUUAUUAUGCUCGGAAACGCUUGGUGAUACAAGAUAAAAAUAAAUACAACACACCCAAAUACAGGAUGAUAGUUCGUGUAACAAACAGAGAUAUCAUUUGUCAGAUUGCUUAUGCCCGUAUAGAGGGGGAUAUGAUAGUCUGCGCAGCGUAUGCACACGAACUGCCAAAAUAUGGUGUGAAGGUUGGCCUGACAAAUUAUGCUGCAGCAUAUUGUACUGGCCUGCUGCUGGCCCGCAGGCUUCUCAAUAGGUUUGGCAUGGACAAGAUCUAUGAAGGCCAAGUGGAGGUGACUGGUGAUGAAUACAAUGUGGAAAGCAUUG